CCGCUGCUAAACCCCAGAAGGUUGAGAAUUGAGAAUUGAGAGAGAGACCAUGUUUCGGAGCCGAGUGAUCGCGUUGUUUGUGAAGAAGAAUAGCAAGGCUCUCUACAAUGUGAUGGCAUCUAGGGUUUCCAAUGAGGAGGCUACCUACCGCCUAUUCUCUACUGGGCUCACAAGGAAAUGCUCCCCAUCUUUCUCCAAGCUUGACCACCGUAUCCUUGCAACUGCAACUUUAUUUUGAAUUGUCACUUUGUGGUGGUCAACAAGGAAGUUUGACAUACACCCUGCAGUUCGAUCGUUGAUUCGAACUACUGUUGGCAUGGCUGGCCUUCAGGUCACACUGGGGAUAUCUACACUUCUGUCAUAUGUGCCUGUUGGGCUUGGCACUGCACAUCAAGCUGGGGCAUUGACUCUCUUCACACUUAUGAUCCUUCUCAAUCACAUUGUGAGGAAGCCAUCACCAUCCCUUCUUAAAUCUCUACCUCAAGUAGCAAAGACAAUAUAAAUGACAACAUUAUACAAUUUUCAAUUUUUGUAACAAGCACUACACAUUUUAAUUGUAAGAAAUGAAAUAUUUAAUUAUUAAUAAGUUCUUCUGUUAUAGAUAAAUUGCCAGAUUGAAAGCUGGACAUGAGUUUUGCAAUUGUGGAUAAAUGUUUAGCUCUGUUGCUUGUACUAGGGCUUCUAUGUACCAUAUCCUAUUGUCAUAUCAAUUCCUUUUCUGUUGAAUACACCGAAACCUUUCUCAUCGUUAUUUUCAAGUGGAUACAGUAUCGAAAUGGAAACAGUAGUAGAAACAGGUCACUUUUCUUGAGCUACAAUAAACCAUACUCUAUUGAAAUGCAAUGUCUGGCUCAUACUGGUACUAUAACCAUUACAAGGUAGUCGACAGCUUGAACAUUUUGGUCUACCACAUCAUUACUA